GUGUGAAGACAUCGGAGUGAGAGUACAGAUAUUCGUUGAGAAUAAAAUUACUGAGUGUGACCAUCUCGAGCAGUCAUAAGGAAGUCUAUCUUCUCGUCGAUGACUAGCUCGAUGCUGUAGCUGUGUGUCUAGUUCUUUGACCUGAGGUGCAUCGAUAGUUCAUCUUGAGUGUGUUAUAGUUUGACUAUAUCAUAACUCGAUCUCCUAGCCAUUCAGAACCUUGAGGUGUAUGUUGGCUGUAGCAUAUUCAUUGUAGGAACCAGAUUGCACCAAGAUGGGAUCUAUCAAUCUCGAUAGAUGAGAGGAG
rnacentral:lncRNA from 1 species